CAUGUUUAUUCAAUGACAGCCAUCCUUGAGAUGAAUUGGAAUGGUAACAGCUAGCUUUGUAGAGAUAUAACAGAAAUCCUUAAGCUGACCAGUUGUAUCAUGAAGAUCAUCCUGGUUAAACAGCUUGAGUCCAGGGUACCUAAUCCUGUUUCUGGAGAUCUACCUUCCAACUGAAGCAUCUUAUUCAGAUUUUCAGAAGCACUUGAUGAUGAAAGACAUGAGAAUUCGAUUAGGAUUGGAACUGAAAUCUGCAGAUAGUUUGAUCUCCAGUAACAGGAUUGGGCACCCCUGGCUUGAGUUUUUCUGCAUUUCCCAAAAGCAUUGUAGGCCAUCAGUGGUAUCAAUGGUCGCUACAGUGCUUUUGGGAAACUAAGCCCAUGACUCUAAUCUGAUCUUUUCAGCAGUAUAGGUGAUCGCUCUUCACCUCCAAUCUUAUCUUUCUCUCUCGAUGUAGAUGUUUUUUUCUCUCUCUGCUUGGCCUUGAUGGUAGCAAGUCUCCUUGAGACUAUCCUCAUCACCAAUGUCGUGUGUGGUUUCUGUGACUUUCCUCCGUUACCUAAGUGGCUCAGGAUUCUGGUUCUGAAAUAUCUUGCUCGACUUGUUUGUAUGAAGAAAUCUUGUGAUAAACACAUUGUAGCAAACAGAUCUGAGAGCACUUUCAACAAAAACAGCAUGACUGACAAUGCCAUGAUUGACAUUCCAAAGGAAGAACUAGUUAGUGGAAGUCAAGUGAGAGUCUGGGAACAAUGUCUUGAUGAAA